rnacentral:sRNA from 1 species
AGGGCGACCGGGUCGACACUGCGGGUCACCACGAGAUAGUCGCGGAUCACGAUGCCGUGCCGGUUCUC